rnacentral:lncRNA from 1 species
CUCAUUUGUUCCGUGUCUAACCACCAAGUCAAGCAUGUUUUUCAGAAGCACACGCAGGAGAUUGAUGCCGCAGAAACACAUGCAGUACCAUGUCCUACCACGUGAGGGCGAGGGUCAUAACAGUGCCAUUUGUUUGGUCUGAGACUCUGGUUGUUCUGUUCAAAGAGACACAUGGGCUGCCUUCAUAUCCACAAAGCUGGAGACAGAGUCUUUCUGACCCGUAUCCUCCCUGCGCUGGGCCUCAGCCACCUGUGGUGCAGCUAGACCAUCCAUCUUUCCCCUAUACACACACACACACACACACACACACACACACACACAUGCUGCUAUGGGCUGUGCCCCGUAGUCAUUGCGUAAGCAUCCUGACAUCUUAAUGUAAGAGUUAAAGGAAUAGUCUCUCAAAAAUAAAAAUUGUCAUAAUUUACUCACCUUCAUGUAGUUCCAAAACUGUAUGACUUUCUAUCUUUCGUGGAACAAAUAUAGAAAAUAUAGAAAAAAAAUCUUUACACUGCCCU